rnacentral:rRNA from 1 species
CACUUUUAGUUGCCAUCAUUAAGUUGGGCACUCUGAAAGAACUGCCAGUGAUAAGCUGGAGGAAGGUGGGGAUGACGUCAAGUCCUCAUGGCCCUUACGUGUUGGGCUACACACGUGCUACAAUGGCAGUGACAAUGGGUUAAUCCCAAAAAGCUGUCUCAGUUCGGAUUGGGGUCUGCAACUCGACCCCAUGAAGUCGGAAUCGCUAGUAAUCGCGUAACAGCAUGACGCGGUGAAUACGUUC